AGUAGGAAUAGAAAAGUGGGUGUAGAUAGGAAGUCAAAUUACUGGACUGAGGGACCAUAAUGAUUGGGGGCUACGGAAAGAAACAAAAAGGACAGGGAUUUUAAAAUUCAGCAGCUCGGGUGAUGCCGUAAUCAGCAGCAGUAGGAAAGGCCAUAUUCUGCUGAUGGAGAAAUGGGAUCUCACCCAAGGAAAGUGACUUGCCAGGGUUACACCACUGCGUUUAUGCUUUUUGGCAGUUCUUUCCUCUUCAUUCCCCCAUCUCUCCAAUUACACAUUCAUAUACACAUAAACACUCCGAUACCCUCAAACUACCAGAAGCCACGUCAGAGACUUGAGAACUUUGGACCAGGAACUGAUGGAGACAAAGAUGACCUAGGAAGAUGGCUACAUUGGGAAUGGAGGCAGAGAUUGGAGUUAUGUGGCCACAAGGGAAGGAACUCCUGGGGCUCCCAGAAGCUGGAAGAAACAAGGAUCCUUCCCCUAUAGGCUUUGGAGGGAGCGUGGCUCUGCAACACCUUGGUUUUGGACUUCUAGCUCCAGAAGUGUAAGAGAAUAAAUUUCUGUGAUCUCAUAUUCAGUUCAUGGUGCUAUAUCAUGGUAGCCCUAGAAACUAAGAUACACAGGUAUGUUGGAUGUAUGGGUCAGGCCCACACCCAGGGUGCAUACGGCCUUUGGUUAAAAAAAAACUCUCAUUUCUGUGGGGAAUCCAUUGCCAGUGGUCUGGAUGACAUGGCCACUGCCUCUCUUCAGGGAUGUGCACAAGACCCUGGCCUGGCCAAUCAGAAUACCUCAUGCCCAGGACCACAGUAACUGGGUCAGGGGUUGUCAAGAUUUAUAUAAAUGAUUUACAUAAAAUGUUUAAAUGUUUUGUUAAAAUAUUUAAAAUAAAAAAUGUUUCUAAGAUUUCAGUUGCCAAUUGUUUUUUGUGAGUAUAUACAAAUACAACUGAUUUUUACAUAUUGGUUUUGUAUCCUGUAUACUUGCUAAAUUCAUGCAUUAGUUGUAUUUUUCUAGAUUUCUUAGAAUUUUCUAUGUACACAAAUCACAAUGUCUGUGAAUAUACACGACAUUACUUCUUCGUUUCCAAAACUUAUGCUUUUCACUUCUUGUUCUUGCCUUGUUGCACUGGGUAGAACCUCAGUUGUAUAUUAAAUAUAUUUUUUAAAAAGGUAGACAUUUGAGCCUUGUUUCCAAUCUUGGGAAGACACUAUUCAGUCUUUUGCCCUUGUCUGCUUCUAAGCUGCCAAAGCCUGUGCUGUGGUGGGGAAAUGUCACUCUGUGGGCCAGCCAUGGUGUGAGUGUGCAGAUGGGACAGCAGCAGCAGGUGCAUUCUCCUGGGAGGCCAGGCCUGGUGGCAGGCAUCUGUAAUCCCUGCUAUUUGGGAGGCUGAAGCUGGAGGGUGGCUUGAGCCUGGGAGUUCGAGUCCAGCCUGAGCCACACAGCGAGACACUGUCUCUUAAAACAAAAAAUAAAAAACAAAACCAACAACCCCCACGCCUGCCUGCCAAAUUUUCCUGGGGAAGGCAAGACACACAAUUAAGAAAGUAAACAUUAUGUCAUCCUUGUCUGUAUCUCAGUAGCCAUAGUUGUGGAUUCCUUCAGUUCUCUCUUGGUAGAAGGUGGGGCCUGAAUAAAUGACGACAUAAAGCCAGCUGAACUUAGUGAGCAGAGCCUCCCAGAUGCUGCAAACUCAAGGAGGCCUCUGUGCUCAGAUCUUUAUUUUCUCUCUCUCUCUCUCUCUGUCUCUGGCACAGCGUUUAUGCUUUUUGGCAGUUCUUUCCUCUUCAAUCCCCCAUCUCUUCAAUUACACAUUCAUGUACACAUCAACACUCCGAUACCCUCAAACUACCAGAAGCCACAUCAGAGACUUGAGAGCUUUGGACCAGGAACUGAUGGAGACAAAGACGACCUAGGAAUGGUUGCUUGCCCUACCCUCAGGAGUUUACAAUUACUGAUAGAGACAGAAGUCUUUGCAGGAGGUGGGGGGCGGGGGGUAGGAGAAACUUUACAAACACACCUGUCAGCAUACACAGGGAUAAUAAUAGGAAAGGGGGUUUUCAUACAAGGGAAGCAUCUGGAAACUGGGAGGG
rnacentral:lncRNA from 10 species